rnacentral:misc_RNA from 1 species
GUUCUAAUUAAUAAAGCUGGAGUAGAUUGGUUAUCCAUUGGGAGCCUUUUUGUGAUUCAUAUAUGGUUUUGUAUAUUUUAUAUCUAUUGUUUGAGAGUUUCACUUUUUCUUCGUAAAUGCCUUGUCCUGGUCCUGUACAUAAUUAUACAUGUACAAAUGUUCAUGCUUAUGUUUGGAUCUCCAUAAUUCAACUUGUAAAAUUAGAAAUGGGAGAAAAUUCAUG